GGAGGAAAGGUGGUGGUGGUGGCAUCCUUCAUCUCCUUGCUGACGUGCAGGAUUAAAAGAGCUCCUGGACCUCAUUGGAGAUGGCAGUUAAUGCAGAAACUCACAACUUGUCAGUCUUUUGUUUGCUCAGCCACAAAUGAGAUAUCUAUACUACACUCCUUCACCCUGAGGCCCAGGGACCAUCAUGGAAGAUGAGUCUGCAGAUUGUCAGAGGUCUGACAAGAGCCAGGUAGGACUAGAGGGAAAGAGCAUCUUCUGGACAUGGUAAGAUGACACUUACGAACUCACAGCAGCUGUGGGUUUCUGUAUGUAUGGGACCUGCAAGAUCAAGCUGUCUGUCAAAAUUCCAACAUGUAGCAGGGAGAAACUCACGAGCUUCCGCCCCAAAUGAGGAGCUAUUGACAGUUCAUGGCUUCCAGGGGAGGAAUAGUCUGCAUUUUUGAUGCUGAGAUCCCACGAUGAGUCAACUAUGCUCCAGCGGAUGGUCCC
rnacentral:lncRNA from 1 species